CGCGGAGUAGAGCAGUCUGGCAGCUCGCUAGCCUCAUAAGCUAGAGGUCAUGGGUUCGAAUCCCAUCUCUGCUA
rnacentral:tRNA from 1 species